UGUCCCUUGGCCCAGUUGGUGAAGGCGUCCGACUGUUACUACCCAUGUAAUCGGAAGAUCGCAAGUUCGAACCUUGCAGGGACAG